rnacentral:rRNA from 1 species
CACCGCGGUUAAACGAGAGGCCCUAGUUGAUAUUAUUACGGCGUAAGGGUGGUUAAGGAAGGAAACAAUAAUAAAGCCAAAUGGCCCUUUGGCCGUCAUACGCUUCUAGGUGUCCGAAGCCCAACCCCACGAAAGUAGCUUUAAUAAAACCCACCUGACCCCACGAAAGCUGAGAAACAAACUGGGAUUAGAUACCCCACUAUGCUCAGCCAUAAACCCAGACGUCGAACUACAAUUAGACGUCCGCCAGGGUACUACGAGCAUUAGCUUGAAACCCAAAGGACCUGACGGUGCCUUAGACCCCCCUAGAGGAGCCUGUUCUAGAACCGAUAACCCCCGUUAAACCUCACCACUUCUAGCCACCCCAGCCUAUAUACCGCCGUCGCCAGCUUACCCUGUGAAGGCAAUAAAAGUAAGCAAAAUGGGCACAACCCAGAACGUCAGGUCGAGGUGUAGCGCACGAAGCGGGAAGAAAUGGGCUACAUUUUCUAUCACAGAACACUACGGACAUGCAACAUGAAAUAGUGCUUGAAGGAGGAUUUAGUAGUAAAAAGGAAGCAGAGUGUCCUUUUGAACCCGGCUCUAAGGCGCGUACACACCGCCCGUCACUCUCCCCUGUCAACACGCAUUAAAAAUACAUAAUAUCAAAGCACUGACAAGGGGAGGCAAGUCGUAACAUGGUAAGUGUACCGGAAGGUGCACUUGGAUUAAACCCAGGGUAUGGCUGAG